UUUACAAUGGAGAGUUUGAUCCUGGCUCAGGAUGAACGCUAGCGGCAGGCCUAAUACAUGCAAGUCGAACGGGGCAGCAAUGCCCAGUGGCGCACGGGUGCGUAACGCGUAGGCAAUCUG
rnacentral:rRNA from 1 species